UUGACAGCAAACUACAUACGCUGUCCGCCCGGGAACUACGAGCAUUAGCUUAAAACCCAAAGGACUUGGCGGUGCUUUAGAUCCACCUAGAGGAGCCUGUUCUAGAACCGAUAACCCCCGUUCAACCUCACCCUUCCUUGUUUCUCCCGCCUAUAUACCACCGCCGUCAGCUUACCCUGUGAAGGUCUAACAGUAAGCAAAAUUGGCACAGCCCAAAACGUCAGGUCGAGGUGUAGCGUAUGGAAGGGGAAGAAAUGGGCUACAUUCCCUCCCCCAGGGAAUUAACGGACGAUGCAUUGAAAUAUGCAUCCGAAGGAGGAUUUAGCAGUAAGUGAAAAAUAGAGUGUCUC
rnacentral:rRNA from 1 species